UCCAGGCAGACAAAGUAACCUAUACGGCGAAAUCAGACUUGGGUGGAGAGAAGGAAUGCAUAACCUUCCUGAAAAGGUAAAUAGAUGCCCUGAUGGUGUGCGAGCGGACGCUGCUUGCAUGGCGGUGCUUGGUAGUGAUGUGCCGUUUCAUGCUCGCACCCUACGCAGCUAUAUGUAACUAUCCGGCAGCUGUACGGGGCAGUGUUUUUGAAAGGAGAUCCC
rnacentral:sRNA from 12 species